rnacentral:lncRNA from 1 species
GUUAAACUUUUUUAAAUUGAUUCUAUGUGAACCAAAAGAAGAACUCUUCAGACAUUAGCCCUAAUUUUUCCAUCUUCUCUCAUUUCCGCCUCACUCUUCUCGUUACUUCCUCUCGCAACACUUCCUUCCCUUUCCCAUAAUAGAGCCAAAAUAAUCCAAACCCUAAACCGAUUCAUUCACCUCACACCGUCGGAAUUUAUAGUUGUCGUUGGGAGCAGCCAGACUUUAGUCGCAGGUGGACAACAAUGGUGGCUGCUGUAACUACUUCUUAUUUCCUUCUCACUGCUGACUAUGGUACUGAACCAAAUGCUUUUGACCAAAUAAGUGCGACCGUAUGCGUGUUCUAAAUUAAUUUAAAUUUCUUGAUGGGUUUUCCUUUGUUUUUUUUCUUCUUUAUACACAUCUGUUAGUGAACUUAAAUUCGUUAAUGUCUGGUUGUGCUUUAGUUUAUUGUGUUUCUCUUUGCGGGCGGGCACUUGGGAAAGCGCGUUUAAUCGGAUAUCGAGACUUGGGUUCCAUUUUCAUGGUUUGUUUUAAUUUUUAGGCGAAAGGAGAUUUUACCCUUGAACACCCAACUCGAACUUAUGAAUCGUCAGUGAUAUAGGGAAGAAAUUUGAGGCUAAUUUCUCUCACGGUCUUCAUUAUGUUAAGUUAAUUGAAAACGGGGCAAUAAAGUUUUAUUAGAAGUAAAAUUCAGUUUGAUUUGUGUUCUUGUUAAUUAAAGCCAUUUAGAAGGAUCCGUAGGCGACAAAAUGGCAAUAGAAAUCUUAAAAUGGCAAUAGAAAUCUUUCUGAAUUUCUAGUGCACAAAUCAAAUUCAUAGGAUGGUAUGAUUUCUAAAGAUGCCAAGAGCAGAGGGUCGGUAGAGAUAGAUGAGGAUGUGUGCUCAAGCUCCACUUUGACAAUUUUGAUCACGAAAUAUAACGAAAAUGUAAAUUCCCUAAAUUCUAGAUUGGUGUAAAA